rnacentral:rRNA from 1 species
AUUGAACGCUGGCGGCAGGCCUAACACAUGCAAGUCGAACGAGUGGCGGACGGGUGAGGAAUGUCUGGGAAACUGCCUGAUGGAGGGGGAUAACUACUGGAAACGGUAGCUAAUACCGCAUACCAUCGGAUGUGCCCAGAUGGGAGUCGCUUGUUGGUGGGGUAAAGGCUCACCCAGGCGACGAUCCCUAGCUGGUAUGAGAGGAUGACCAGCCACACUGGAACUGAGACACGGUCCAGACUCCUACGGGAGGCAGCAGGGGGGAAUAUUGCACAAUGGGCGCAAGCCGGAUGCAGCCAUGCCGCGUGUAUGAAGAAGGCCUUCGGGUUGUAAAGUACUUUCAGCGGGGAGGCGUUACCCGCAGAAGAAGCACCGGCUAACUCCGUGCCAGCAGCCGCGGUAAUAC